rnacentral:piRNA from 1 species
CUCAGGAGCAGGUGCUGUUGAUGGAUC